AUAACUCCAGCCUGUGUCAAGUUGACACCAAAACCAGCCAGUACAAGCUCUCUUCAUCUCCCCGUGGGAUAAGAUGAACGUAAAGAAAGCCACACAGGUCCAAAGCUCAAUUCAGUCUGAACAUUGGCUUUCAA